rnacentral:lncRNA from 1 species
AAUAUAAAUGUUCACUUCUUUAGUAAGCACACAAACACAAGUCCUGAGGAUUCACUGACCUCCUGUUUACAAUGUUGUUUACAGGCGGUAGCAGACGAAGAGAAGCAGAGCAGAGAGUCUCAGCUACAAUCAACCAUCGACACACUGCAGGAUGAGAACUCUUCUCUUCAGCAUGCAGUCCACAGCCUUCAGGUCCAGCAUGAAGACACCAGAACCCAGCUGGACCAGAUCACAGCGGCCAUGUUGGAUCCUCAGGAGCUUCAGAACGGACCAGAGGACAAGUACAGGCCUGAGGACAUGUUGUCCAGGAGUGUGGAGCAGCUCUACAGGGCGAUCCAGCAGACCAAAACCGGCCAGGAACACAUCUCCACACUGCAGGCCCGCGGGGGCGCUGCGGAGCUGCAGAGACUGAGAGUCAGAAACAGACACGCUCAACACAAACUGGUCAGUAUCACGAGGCUGAGCUACACGUGUUAGUGGAGCAUUAAAGGCUCAGCUGUAGUUCUCCUGCACUAAACAAUAUAACUGCAC